rnacentral:rRNA from 1 species
UAAUACAGAGGGUGCGAGCGUUGUUCGGAAUUAUUGGGCGUAAAGCGCUUGUAGGCGGCCAGGCAAGUCUCGUGUGAAAUCCCUUGGCUCAACCAAGGAAGUGCGCGAGAAACUACCUGGCUCGAGUGCCGGAGAGGGUCGCGGAAUUCCCGGUGUAGAGGUGAAAUUCGUAGAUAUCGGGAGGAACACCAGUGGCGAAGGCGGCGACCUGGACGGACACUGACGCUGAGACGCGAAAGCGUGGGGAGCAAACAGG